UAUUCUGAAUCAUGGAAAAAUCCCCAAGAUACUUACUGAUAAUAAUACACACAGUUGUGUUUAAACCAUACGUUACGAUGUUUUUCGGUCGCAGGCAUGGGAAAGAGAUAUAGAACGUAAAUAGCAACAAACACAAAUGCACAGAGAUCAUCGUGAAGCGUAUAAAGAGGUCAUAAGCAAUCUACAAUAGUACUCAGCAUUUCCAUUCGAUGAAAUAAAGUAAAUUUUCCUUCAGAGCAAAUCAGAGGUUUGUAUAAUAUGCACAUUGCACACUUAUUGCUAGUCUUGCACUAUUGAAUCGUCUUGAAUAUUCCAUCGUAUGUCAUUCAAUGAAACUUCAAUGAUGUGAUUAAUUCAUUUCAACUGAAGUUCCAUUGAAUGCGCAUUCAAUUCAAACAUCUUCGAUCAUGUUCGAAAUUCGGAGAGACUGUGGAGAAAUUGAUUAAAUGACUGCCAAGCUGACAAUUCUCCACUUUGCCGCUUUCCUAUCAUCGUCAUACGUGUGAUUGUGUGUAAGAAAAAUACCGAAACAUUACAUAGGAGCCGCUGUCCAGCAACAAAUACGCAGAAUAUUUUCUCACUUUUCGUCGUACAGUUCGCCAUGUUUCAUUGAAUAAAAUUGCGCAAUACCAAAUUCUCCGCAGUUUUUGGCUAAUAAUUUCAUUAUUGGCGCACAUUUUUUUGUAAAAGCAUCGUGUUUCAAGAAAUAGAACUUUUUUUCUUCAAGAUCGGGCAAAAAAUCGUCGAUUCAUUGAAUUUUUUUUCGAUUUUUCUGGACAUCAACUGGGACGGUAUACAUUUGUUAGAUUUUUAUUAUUCCACGCAACAUUCGUCAGUCUCUUUAUUUCACAAUACACUUAUUUAUUUAUUUAUUUAUUACGAAGCCUACAUUUAUGCCAAUAUGUGUUCCCAGCAAGCUGAGAACAUGCUGGUCAGAGACCCAAUACGGCAUAAAUUCCGCCCAUGGUGCGUCUUUUGCAAAGAGAAUACAGUCAGGGGAGGGAUGAUAUAAAAGUGAGGCUUUCAUACCAGAAUUGGGUCAGGAAAACCAUGGUAAAACCGGCUUGAUUCUGGAAAACCAGGGGAAAUACAAUGAUGAUGAGUUUUUGCAAUUAAAGUACGUUAACAUCAAUGAGAAAAAUCAAAUGAAAAGUCAAACUUAAUCUAAAUUGGAUACGAAAUUUCAUAACAAUGGUCCGAGUAUUUCACUAUUUGAAAAAUAUCUAAAAAUUUACUGCGUGGAACGUAACAGAUGCUUUAGGUUAUUUUUAAACGCGACUAGAGAUUUAGAAUUUCUAAUUUCGACCGAUAUACUAUUCCAAAAAUUGAUUGCAGAGAAACUAAAUGCGCGAGUAUCAAAUGCAGUACGCGGACUGAAAUUCAUGCGAAGAUUAUCUGGAUAACGUGACGAUUCACCAUUACGAACAAACAUGCGAUUCAGAUACUCAGGCGAACAAUUCGACAACUGCUUGAAUAUCAAGACUGCUGAUUGCAGUUUUGCUCUGCUCUCAGGAGUCAAUCCACUCAAACGUUCACGAUAUUCAGUAACAUGAUCAUUACGUUUUAAUCCGUAAAUGUAGCGAAUCUUGUCGUUAUCAGCAACAAGAUCACGGUGCACCUGGUUUUGGGUGCUGUGGGCGUACCAGCCGUAUGUUACCACACUUCUAUAAUCCAUUAUGGGAUCUAUCAGAGCUACAGCCAUAUCACGUUUGACGUAAUAAAGCGUUUAGUGUGACGGAUGCGAUUCAACACGCCAUACACUUUUUGCAAUUUACACUUGUCAUGUUCUUGAAAAGUAAAGUUUUCGUCAAAAAUAACACCAAGGUUCUUUAUUGACUUACAGAAUUCGAUUGUUUCAUCACCUAAUUUCACUUCAUUGAUCAUAUCAAAAUUCAACCGACCCGUUUGAUGCUUUGAUCCAAUGAUCAUUACUUUUGACUUUAAACUAUUUAUAAUCAUACCGCGACGUUUAAGAAAAUCAUUCAAUUUGGCAAGGUCCGAGUUUAUUUUAUCGAUACCGUCGUUAAUUUUAUCAAAAUCCACUUCGAUAUGUGCUUGACAAUCAUCCGCGAACAAAUGGCCUUUCAUAUUUUCAAACACAUUGAGAGUAUCAUUAAAGUAAAGAGAGAAGAAAGUUUGGCCGAAAUUACUACCUUGCAAUACUCCAUUAUUAAUUGGAACAAAAUUUGACUCUUGAUCACCGACUUUAACUUUUUGCUGAAUGUUACUAUAAAUUGAUUUAAUUAAUUUAACCGCGCUAUUAGAAAAACCAUACGAUUCACAAACUUUUAAAAGAGCAUCAUGAGGAACUGACGGAACACGAACUGAAUUGCGCAAUAAAAUUGGUUCUCAGUGAAAAUACUUUUUUUUAUUCGGAAAAGAGACAUUUUGUGCUCUGAUUUUUAUUUGAUAUCCAUUCGAUUACAAUUUGCUGGAAAAAAACUAUCGACAACAUGCAAUGAUAAGCGAGCAAAUGAUUGGAGUGUACCCAUUUUUAUCAGGUUUUUAACAAUUACAAGAUUUACAUUCGAUUAUGUUAUUACAAUCGGAAUCUCUAUUGCAAGAUGAGUUAUUAUCAAAACACCAGUUUGAGUUGGAAGCGCAAUAGCCCCAGCAUGUAUGAGGGUACCAGAAUGUACCGCAAUGGUUAGCUACAUCAAAAAAAAUAUAUUGUCAAUUCUAUACAUUUAAUUAUGAAUUUUAGUUGCAAUUUCAACUACCUAAUGCGAAACAGUGAUUUUGGGCAUCGACCAUUGCACUAUGGCCAAUGAUUCCGAUGAACACGAAAACCAGAAAUCCAAUUUUAUAUUUUUCACGGGAAAUUCCCAUUGUUCUUCAACGUCUUUUAACUAACAAAUUAAACUAACUGAUGACAAUGAA